rnacentral:RNase_P_RNA from 1 species
UGAGAAGGGCAGGCGGCCGCUGAAGGAAUACCCUUCAGAGGAAAGUCCGAGCUCCACAGGGCAGGAUGCUGGGUAACACCCAGUGGGGGUGACCUCAGGAAAGUGCCACAGAAAACAGACCGCCGGCACGAUGCCGGUAAGGGUGAAAAGGUGAGGUAAGAGCUCACCGCAUCCCGGGUGACCGGGAUGGCACGGCAAACCCCAUCUGGAGCAAGAUCAAAUAGGAGAGCGCUCCCUCUUGAGGGAAAAGGAUGGCCCGUCCGAUGCUCUCGGGUCAGAUCGCACGAGGCCGGCAGGCAACUCCGGUCCCAGAGUAAUGGUCGCCGACAUGAGCAUUUUUCAUGUACAGAACUCGGCUUAUGCCCUUCUCAGGCA